GACGAACGCUGGCGGCGUGCUUAACACAUGCAAGUCGAACGGUGAAGCGCCUUCCUUUUUGGUGGGUGUGGAUGAGUGGCGAACGGGUGAGUAACACGUGAGUAACCUUCCCCCUUCUUCUGGAUAACCGCAUGAAAGUUUGGCUAAUACGGGAUAUUCUGGGUCUGUCGCAUGAUUGGUCUGGGAAAGAUAUUGUUUCUGUGGGGGAUGGGCUCGCGGCCUAUCAGCUUGUUGGUGGGGUGAUGGCCUACCAAGGCGGUGACGGGUAGCCGGCCUGAGAGGGUGGACGGUCACACUGGGACUGAGACACGGCCCAGACUCCGACGGGAGGCAGCAGUGGGGAAUAUUGCACAAUGGGCGCAAGUCUGAUGCAGCGACGCCGCGUGAGCGAUGGAGGCCUUCGGGUUGUGAACCUCUUUCGCCAGUGAAGCAGGCCUGCCUCGUUUGUGGGUGGGUUGACGGUAGCUGGAUAAGAAGCGCCGGCUAACUACGUG
rnacentral:rRNA from 1 species